UCUUCCGUCCUGGGGGAGUAGCCGGCGCGGCUUGAUGGCCGCGGGUGCGCGUCAACACACUUGGUCUGCGACCAUGGCGCGCAACAGUCCCGAACGGACUGCGGCAAGACCCAUGAUGCACGCCGGCUCUCAUCGAGGCUCGGCCGCGUGCGUCAUGGUGUCCGUCACGAGCCUCGGGAU
rnacentral:sRNA from 2 species